UCUGGUUGAUCCUGCCAGUAGUCAUAUGCUUGUCUCAAAGAUUAAGCCAUGCAUGUCUAAGUAUGAAUAGUAUACAGUGAAACUGCGAAUGGCUCAUUAAAACAGUUAUAGUUUAUUUGAUAAUUGACAAUUACAUGGAUAACCGUGGUAAUUCUAGAGCUAAUACAUGCUUAAACGCCCGACUUUAUGGAAGGGUGGUAUUUAUUAGACUGAAGCCAAUAUUCCUUGUGUCUAUUGCGGUGAUUCAUAAUAACUGAUCGAAUCUCUUUUUGAGAUAAGUCAUUCAAGUUUCUGCCCUAUCAGCUUUCGAUGGUAGUGUAUUGGACUACCAUGGCAGUAACGGGUAACGAAGAAUUAGGGUUCGAUUUCGGAGAGGGAGCAUGAGAAACGGCUACCACAUCUAAGGAAGGCAGCAGGCGCGUAAAUUACCCAAUCCUGACUCAGGGAGGUAGUGACAAGAAAUAGCAAACCGGGAACCUCAUGGUUUCACGGUAUUGCAAUGAGAACAAUUUAAAACCCUUAGCGAGAAUCAAGUGGAGGACAAGUCUGGUGCCAGCACCCGCGGUAAUUCCAGCUCCACUAGCGUAUAUUAAAGUUGUUGCAGUUAAAAAGCUCGUAGUUGAACCUCUGUCUGGGGCUAGUUUUGGCUUUGGUCAGGCUAGUUCUAGGCAUCCGCCUACAAGACUUAGAGGGCAUUCAGUUGUUCACUAGGAGGAGUAGGCAUUUUACUUUGAAAAAAUUAGAGUGUUUAAGGCAGGCAAUCGCCCGCAUAUAUUAGCAUGGAAUAAUAGAAUAGGACACUUUUCCAUCUCGUUGGUUAUUGGAAUCGUGUAAUGAUUAAUAGGGACAGUUGUGGGCAUUUGUAUUUAAUUGUCAGAGGUGAAAUUCUUGGAUUUAUUAAAGACAAACUAACGCGAAAGCAUUUGCCAAGGAUGUUUUCAUUAAUCAAGAACGAAAGUUAGGGGAUCAAAGACGAUCAGAUACCGUCCUAGUCUUAACUAUAAACUAUUCCGACUCAAUGUUUGACUGGCUUAUAUAACCAGUUGAGCGUUGUAUGAGAAAUCAAAGUCUUUAGGUUCUGGGGGGAGUAUGGUUGCAAAGCUGAAACUUAAAGGAAUUGACGGAAGAGCACAACCAGGAGUGGAUUCUGCGGCUUAAUUUGACUCAACACGGGGAAACUUACCAGGUUAAAACAAUAGUGGGAU
rnacentral:rRNA from 1 species